rnacentral:rRNA from 1 species
UACGUAGGGGGCAAGCGUUGUCCGGAAUCAUUGGGCGUAAAGAGCGUGUAGGCGGUCCGGUAAGUCCGCUGUGAAAGUCGGGGGCUCAACCCUCGAAUGCCGGUGGAUACUGUCGGGCUAGAGUGCGGAAGAGGCGAGUGGAAUUCCUGGUGUAGCGGUGAAAUGCGCAGAUAUCAGGAGGAACACCUAUUGCGAAGGCAGCUCGCUGGGACGUAACUGACGCUGAGACGCGAAAGCGUGGGGAGCAAGCAGG